UAACUUUUCUUUAGCGACAAGUCUCACUAUAUUAGGGGUGCCGGAUUCGUCCGGCUAUGGCGAUAAAUGGUCUCCGUAAUAAGCCUAUCGGACCCGGGGGCAGUACCCGGCGCCUCCACCACAUGCCGCAGCAACCUUGAACAUGGCAGGCGGCGGCAUCUGAUGGGGGCGAACUAGGAUCGACGAGGGUGUAAAGGGUGCACUUUUGCCCGGCAUGAUACCGCCGUUAUCGGGUCAAUCAGAAUAGUUGCCAAUGACAACUAUGCUGAGGCCGCUCUCGCUGCGUAACGCAGUGCGAAAAGCCUGAACUUGAAGCCUCGGCGUCUAGCCACGUCAGGCGCGGUUUCGGAGGGCACCGGGCAACAGAAGCCCUCCACU
rnacentral:tmRNA from 1 species